rnacentral:rRNA from 1 species
GUCUACAGCCAUACUACCUUGAACACACCCUCUUAUCUGAUCUUGGAAGCCAAGCAAGGUUGGUCCUGGCUGGCCUGGUCCCGGAGGAGAAGUAAAAAGAAACUAUGAGAAGAAAUAAGUAAGAAAUAACAGCAGCUGUAGACU